rnacentral:misc_RNA from 1 species
AGUUCUUUCACGCCUCAAGCAAUUCUCAGCAAUGAACAAACUAAAGAAAAUGGCUUUGCGUGUGAUUGCCGAGAGGCUAUCAGAAGAGGAGAUUGGUGGUCUCAAGGAGCUAUUCAAAAUGUUAGACACGGACAAUAGUGGAACAAUAACCUUUGAGGAACUAAAAGAGGGUUUGAGGCGAGUAGGUUCGGAACUAAUGGAGUCUGAGAUCAAGGAUCUUAUGGAUGCAGCAGACAUUGACAACAGUGGAACAAUAGACUAUGGGGAGUUUCUUGCUGCUACUGUGCACUUAAACAAGUUUGAAAGAGAAGAGAAUCUUGUAUCAGCGUUCUCUUUCUUCGACAAAGAUGGCAGUGGAUACAUAACUAUUGAUGAGCUUCAGCAUGCUUGCAAAGAAUUUGGUCUAAGUGAGCUUAAUCUUGAUGAAAUGAUCAAAGAUAUUGAUCAAGAUAAUGAU